rnacentral:rRNA from 1 species
CCUACGGGAGGCUGCAGUGAGGAAUAUUGGUCAAUGGGCUUACGCCUGAACCAGCCAAGUCGCGUGAGGGAGUACUGCCCUAUGGGUUGUAAACCUCUUUUGUCGGGGAGCAAAAGCCGGACGUGUCCGGCUGUGAGAGUACCCGAAGAAAAAGCAUCGGCUAACUCCGUGCCAGCAGCCGCGGUAAUACGGAGGAUGCGAGCGUUAUCCGGAUUUAUUGGGGUUAAAGGGUGCGCAGGCGGAUUUUUAAGUCAGCGGUCAAAUCGUGGGGCUCAACCCCAUCCAGCCGUUGAAACUGGGGAUCUAGAGUGUGCGAGAGGUAUGCGGAAUGCGUGGUGUAGCGGUGAAAUGCAUAGAUAUCACGCAGAACCCCGAUUGCGAAGGCAGCAUACCGGUGCACAACUGACGCUCAGGCACGAAAGCGUGGGUAUCGAACAGGAUUAGAUACCCCGGUAGUC